CGGCUCCAGAGGGCGUUAGAAUCUUCCCCAGCAUCAGGAAGAAGGAGGGUCAAGUUGCCAAAAACCUACCACGUGGGAGGGGCAGACCGCACUUGGAGAACUGCGACAUUCGGGUUCCUCUCCUUGGUAUCCCCAGUGGCCUUCACUAAAGGUUUAAUGAAGUCUGAGACACUUUUAAUGCUCCUACAAAAAGUGGAUACGUCGGAAAGAUCCUAUCGUAAGAGAUGCAUCACACUAUGGAAUAUGAAUCAGCUACUCAGAUUUAUACUUGCAGAGUGCCAAGAACUUCCCGGAUUGUGCUCCAACAAGUGGAAUUCACACUAAUUCUGAGACUGGUGCUCCUAGAAGUUGUGCAGAGGGCAGCCCUGACAGAAAGCUCAAGCUCAUGCCUCUUUUUUCAUUUUUAUAUUUUAUUAUUAUGUAUUUUUAUUAGCCACCUCCAAUUUUGAAUGCAAAUAGUUGGGCUACAAAUGUAAACAAACUCUUAAAGAAUGUGGAUCACUACAUCAAAAAACUAAUGAUGUAUUGGUGACUAACAUAACAUAACAAAAUUAAAUUA